rnacentral:misc_RNA from 1 species
GAUGAAGACGCAGCGAAAUGCGAUACGUAAUGUGAAUUGCAGAAUUCAGUGAAUCAUCGAGUCUUUGAACGCACAUUGCGCCCCCUGGUAUUCCGGGGGGCAUGCCUGUCCGAGCGUCAUUGCUGCCCUCAAGCACGGCUUGUGUGUUGGGCCUCCGUCCUCCUCCCGGGGGACGGGCCCGAAAGGCAGCGGCGGCACCGCGUCCGGUCCUCGAGCGUAUGGGGCUUCGUCACCCGCUCUUGUAGGCCCGGUCGGCGCUUGCCGACACAUCAAUCUUUUUUCCAGGUUGACCUCGGAUCAGGUAGGGAUACCCGCUGAACUUAAGCAUAUCAAUAAGCGGAGGA